rnacentral:rRNA from 1 species
GAUGGACGCUGGCGGCGUGCCUAAUACAUGCAAGUCGAGCGAACAGACGAGGAGCUUGCUCCUCUGACGUUAGCGGCGGACGGGUGAGUAACACGUGGAUAACCUACCUAUAAGACUGGGAUAACUUCGGGAAACCGGAGCUAAUACCGGAUAAUAUAUUGAACCGCAUGGUUCAAUAGUGAAAGACGGUUUUGCUGUCACUUAUAGAUGGAUCCGCGCCGCAUUAGCCAGUUGGUAAGGUAACGGCUUACCAAGGCGACGAUGCGUAGCCGACCUGAGAGGGUGAUCGGCCACACUGGAACUGAGACACGGUCCAGACUCCUACGGGAGGCAGCAGUAGGGAAUCUUCCGCAAUGGGCGAAAGCCUGACGGAGCAACGCCGCGUGAGUGAUGAAGGUCUUCGGAUCGUAAAACUCUGUUAUUAGGGAAGAACAAAUGUGUAAGUAACUAUGCACGUCUUGACGGUACCUAAUCAGAAAGCCACGGCUAACUACGUG